ACAGAAUUGGCUAUGUGAAAUGCCCAUUGGAGUAGAUAUCAUUGAUCCCGAAAGCUAUAGGCUUGAAUCAGACCUACUCGUGAACCCUAGCAUAGUUGCAGAUGAGUGAUAAUUGUGGAUGAGUUACAAGUACAUGGAUGGGUGAUGCUAUUCAGAUAAAACAUUAUGAGAAUGAAUACCGAAUGGUGGUG